AAUGCUUCCCUGAACUCAAACUAGAUCAAACCAAGAAGUAAAUUGUAUGGUAUUUACUAACUACUGGCCAGUCGUCUUUUUUUAGGACUCUUGUUUUCUCUUAGAUUCUGUAUUUUUUUGAGCUCGUGAUUCUGAUCCUGCAGACCUAGGUUAAUGUUUUUCUGAUCAGUGAAGUUUUUAAAAAAAAAAAAAAAAAACACAAAAACAUUGCAAUGGAGAUUUCAUCUGCGAAAAGCUACGAGGCCUUUAUUAUUGUUAUGUGUGCACACUCGUGUUAUGUGUUGUAUGUCGGUAUGUCUGUAUGUGUGUAUGUCCAUAUAUCCUGCAGUGAUAUAACAAUUGACAGAUGAGGAGCGCUCAUAAAAAAUAAAAAAAAUUAAAAAUAGAUCCAAAUAUCUUUAAUUCACGUGAUUCAAACGGUUCAAUUUAGAUUGGGUAAACAGAUAAAAGUAAAGAUGUCCUCAAAAUUAAGCUUAUAAGUUUCUCUAGGUGUUCAAAAAGGCCCUAAUAAAAUGUUAACUCUGCUUAAAUUUAAAAGUUUACAAGUAUUGUUUCAAAAUGUGAACAAAAGGAGGUUUAUGUAAUUAUGGUGUUAUUAAUGUGUUCAUAUCUUCCAGGUAUACAAGUCUGUAAGGUAGAAGCUUCAAAAGAACAUUAUAUCAAGCUGGUGUUCUAAAGUUGUAUGGUAAUUUUAGGCUUAAAAAAAAAAACAUGUUAGAGAUUCAAUUAUAUCAUUUGUGUUCUAUAACUGAACUUGUUAUCAAUAAGAUAUGUACUGUUCCAUGUUACUUUCUACUCUAAGAUACAAUUUAUGUAUUUUUAAGUUAAUAAGAGCCUAAUCUGUGUGAAGGUUUUAUUGCAAAACACAAAAGUACAUUACUACUUUUCUACAAGAGGUUAAAAGCUUUCAGCCUUUAAUUCAUGUUUUAAGUGUGAUAUUAUGUUGUGUUAGCUAAAGUUCAUGUAAACUUGAACAACAAUUUAUGUAAACUUUGUAAAAUGAUCAGCUUCAGAACUAUAGUACUUGAGAUUUAUAAAGAGCCCUGCCUUACUUGAGAUAAGGCUCUGUCCCAUCUCACUACAUGUGAAAAUGGCUAUGAAAGAAGUAAGCCAGAUUUCAGUACAGUUAAAGUUGUGUCCAAAAGUAGGUUUUUGCCAAGAUUACUAGGAUCUCAAACAGGAAAUUAUGAUGUAUAACCCUGCCAGAAUUCAAGGUAGCUAUUAUAUAAGGUAAAUAUGUUUUUACCCUAGCUAGUUUUGUUUUGUAGUUUGCUUUUAGAUGGUUUAAGGAUUGCCUGUUAAUGUUUUAAAGAGAUAUUGCUUUAAGAACACAACCUGGGUCAACAUAAGAUAAGGAGUUAUCACCUACAGGAUAAAGAGAUAGACAUUAAAGCCCAGUGCUCUUAAUAUAAGGCUGUUAACUUAUUUGCUGGAUGUUUAAGAUCAAGUUUUUAAAAUUAGUUAAAUUAAAAGGGCCAAGAAAACCAAUAUUCGGCUCUUGCCCUCUGAGUCAGUCUGAAUCAGGGAAUAGGGGACUUCUCCAAAGGGCUCAGCAACUCUAGGCCACAUAACCUCCUGAGCAGGGAGAUUAAUGAGACCAGUGGAGGACAGAAAGCCAAUCGGUACAUUUGCUGUAAAGAGGAGGGUCAUUAAAAAAGGAAGACAUCCCUGAUGCUUCUGAGGGAAGCCAUAUGGUCAAGCAAGGCCUGGACCCAUCCUAGCGCAAAUGACACUAGCAGAACUGAAAAGCUGCUAUGAAGUUCCCGAAGACUCCCAGGAUAACUCAGCUGACUGUAAACAAUAGGUAGAAACAAAAGUCAGUUUGACUUGCUUCAUCUUAAACACUUAGCAAAGACAGUCAAAGCCAAAGCACAGCUGUUCCUGGACAUCUUAAAUGAUAAUAAUAGUUAAAUGUAACUUCCAUAAAUAAGUAGACUGGAGGCUACAAAAGAGAUUCUUGGACAGAAAUGCCUGAUAACUGUCAAAGGGACUGCUAGAGUAGUUUUAGUCUAAGGCCUUUAUUUCUAGCCAACGCAGGUAGGCUUGAUGUUUGCUAAUAUGGUUAUCCAGCCCUAAGUAGCAAAAUUAAAGAUUUCUCUAUUAGACACAGAGGUCAUACUAGUAAAAGGAUUUUGCAGGAUCAGAUGGCAUUAAAUUAUUAAACUAUAUCUUAAAGGAAAAGACAUCUGUAACCCUACAUGUUAGUUGUUGUGUUGACAUCCCUGACAUUUCUGACAAUGUGACAAAUAUCCUUAAAGAUUUACCUGCUCAGAUGGAAGCCAUGUCCUCAGCAACUUUUUCGUGGAAACAAUAUCCUAGCUCCUAGUUCCUGGUACUGCCUGAUGAAAAACAUUGUUAAUCUUUGUCUUGGCCAUUAUACUCAUUGGCAUAUUUCUGUGCUGUGGCAUUUAUUACUGCAUCAAUAUGGUUCCAGUACUAAUAAGUUCUUGUUUCUCUUAUAGACCACCCAUCACUCAAAUGGCCCUCCAACCUAUUACUUCUCAAUUAGACUUUCAUCAUGGACCACUCGAUAGACCCGAUAUUUUUAAGGGGGACUCCAAACUGCUUGCCCCACGCCGUCCCUUUUCAGCCUGAAGAAGCCAGAAAGAUUCUCUUCGUCCCCCUUCCUCACAGCAGAACCUAUAGUGAAAAACAAGUUUACCCUUUAAGUGACCUAUAUGCUGGAUUCAAAAGAGCCAAUGAGAUACCUGUUACUGUGCUAGGAGGGAAACUGACCACUGUACCCUAUAAAAGAUCUGUACCCCAAAGCCCGGUGUGCCAGUUCACCGAAGCUCCGGCUGAGGUUUCGCUGAGCACCCGCAGGCGCCUGUGUAUCAAUAAAUCGCCUCUUGCUUUUGCA